rnacentral:rRNA from 1 species
GACGAACGCUGGCGGCGUGCUUAACACAUGCAAGUCGAACGAUGAAGCGGGUGCUUGCACUCGUGGAUUAGUGGCGAACGGGCGAGUAACACGUGAGUAACCUGUCCUUUUCUUUGGGAUAACGGCUGGAAACGGCUGCUAAUACUGGAUAUUCAGGCUGCAUCGCAUGGUGUGGUUUGGAAAGGUUUUUUCUGGGAUUGGGUGGGCUCGCGGCCUAUCAGCUUGUUGGUGGGGUGAUGGCUUACCAAGGCUUUGACGGGUAGCCGGCCUGAGAGGGUGGUCGGUCGCAAGGGGACUGAGAUACGGCCCAGACUCCUACGGGAGGCAGCAGUGGGGAAUAUUGCACAAUGGAGGAAAGUUUGAUGCAGCGACGCCGCGUGGAGGGUGUAGGCCUUCGGGUUGUGAACUCCUUUUUCUCGCGAAAAAGGCACAGUGUUGGCUGUGUUGAUGGAAGUGGGGGAAGAAGCGCCGGCUAACUACGU